UACGAAGGGGGCUAGCGUUGCUCGGAUUGACUGGGCGUAAAGGGCGCGUAGGCGGUUCGUACAGUCAGACGUGAAAUUCCUGGGCUCAACCUGGGGGCUGCGUUUGAUACGUGCGGACUUGAGUGCGGAAGAGGGUCGUGGAAUUCCCAGUGUAGGGGUGAAAUUCGUAGAUAUUGGGAAGAACACCGGUGGCGAAGGCGGCGACCUGGUCCGAUACUGACGCUGAGGCGCGAAAGCGUGGGGAUCAAACAGG
rnacentral:rRNA from 1 species